rnacentral:rRNA from 1 species
UCUGAAUCUGCGUACGGCUCCGCAAACCAGUUGUAAACCAAAGCAAGCAUACUCGGGGACUGCCCUUCACGGGGUGGGCUCGGGUGAUACGGAUAACCCUGGUAAUUCUGAGGCUAAUACGAGACUAUAAUCCCUGGCGGACCGGGCAACUGGGAAGCUGGGGGGCGUGCGAUCUAUUUGCAAGACGAUACCAGGAGGGGGUGCACGCUCUGACCGCGAUAAAGACGGUUCCGGUAAACCUUCGGGCGAGCUGGUUCCGAGCGGCUCUUGCGAUGUGCUUCUGACCUAUCAACUAGAUGGCAGCGUAACGGACAUG